AAGUUGAAGUCUGUGAAGAUGGUGGGAAGCUUCGUAAUGGGAUGGGUUGUCUUCAGUUGGCUCUUCUGAAGAUAGAUUGGAUACCACUUGCUCUCUCUCUCUCUCUCUCUCUCUCUCUCUCUCUCUUCUCUCCGGCAUCUCUCUCUCUCUCUCUCUCUCGAUCAUUUUUUUUUAAAAAAAAAACUUAUUAAUUAAUCUUUGUCCCCAUGUUUAAUUAGUUGUCAUGUUCUCCUAUUUAAUGCCAUUUGUUCUUUGUAUUAAAAUUGUUGGUCGUUGGCUUGAUUUGGAUUCUCUGGGGAUUUAUUUACCACAUUGGCUUUGUAAAAUUCGGAGUUUGAGGGGGUAAUUUAGUAACUUUUCUGUUGACUCACUUCACUUCUUUCCUUUUCGAGUUUGGAUCAUACGCGCCCA
rnacentral:lncRNA from 1 species